GGUGGCUCAGUGAUACAGUGCUUGCCUUAGAUGCAUGAGGCCCUGGGUUCGAUUCUCAGCACCA
rnacentral:tRNA from 1 species